UCUUGAGAGCGGCGGACGGGUGAGUAAUGCCUAGGAAUCUGCCUGGUAGUGGGGGAUAACGUUCGGAAACGGACGCUAAUACCGCAUACGUCCUACGGGAGAAAGCAGGGGACCUUCGGGCCUUGCGCUAUCAGAUGAGCCUAGGUCGGAUUAGCUAGUUGGUGAGGUAAUGGCUCACCAAGGCGACGAUCCGUAACUGGUCUGAGAGGAUGAUCAGUCACACUGGAACUGAGACACGGUCCAGACUCCUACGGGAGGCAGCAGUGGGGAAUAUUGGACAAUGGGCGAAAGCCUGAUCCAGCCAUGCCGCGUGUGUGAAGAAGGUCUUCGGAUUGUAAAGCACUUUAAGUUGGGAGGAAGGGCAGUUACCUAAUACGUGAUUGUUUUGACGUUACCGACAGAAUAAGCACCGGCUAACUCUGUGCCAGCAGCCGCGGUAAUACAGAGGGUGCAAGCGUUAAUCGGAAUUACUGGGCGUAAAGCGCGCGUAGGUGGUUUGUUAAGUUGGAUGUGAAAUCCCCGGGCUCAACCUGGGAACUGCAUUCAAAACUGACUGACUAGAGUGUGGUAGAGGGUGGU
rnacentral:rRNA from 1 species